GCAGAGAUCGAAUUCCAACUGCAGUUCUGUUUCUUUUAUUUUCUCUCCAACAAAAUCGCCAUCUCUCUCGAACUGAUCCUUCUGUCAUUUUCACAAUCACAUCAUAAACCCAUCAACACAAUUUCCACACACAUCAAGAACCCUACCUUCAAAAAUUUCUCGUGAUUCCUUUUCAUUUCCACAUCUUUCUCUUCAAUCACAUGCUCUUUUCAUUUCCAAUUCUCGUGGCUCUUAUCUAAUCGUCAUUAAUUCCUCUCAACGCUAUAAUAACCUCUUCAUUAAACACAUUAUAAUUUUAAUUAAUUGCUAUCAUAAACCGAUCCAGAUUCACAAAUUCAUCAGAAAUCAAAUUGAUUAAUCAAACUGAUUAAUUAACCAUCUCUCUGAUCAAUUUUACUUCGGUUGAAAUCAAUGAUCGGGAAGAAGGAGAUGGAGGAAGAGGAAGAACAGAAAAUCAGGAGUAAUAGCAAUCAAAGGACGCUUUCGAGGUCUUUAUCUACAGCUUCA
rnacentral:lncRNA from 1 species